AUAGUAAUAUGGCCUCUCUUCGGUUAGGAGGAUAGCUUCUAACUUGCAUUCGAAGUUUUUGAUAAACUUGUACAUUACAGAUCUUUAACCAAUCACGUUCCGUCGAGUGUGAUAAUUUUCUCGAAACAUGAUUUGUUAGAGAUAUGAAAUUUGUGCAAUAUAUUUUCAUUCGCUUUGCUAUUCCAUGAAGUUCUCUUGAAGUUGCCAUAUAUUUCCUAUGCGUGUGCUCAAACAUUGACUGAACAACCACCUAACAAACCCAUGGAGACGAAUUAGCAGUCGACCCGUGCAAUCAUUCAACAAGAGAGUGCUCUUUCUUUAAGGUUCAUCAUAUAUCCUAUACUAACUCAUGCGAGGAACCAAAAGUAUCUGUAUGAAGGUAGAAUUUUCUUGUCGACUUCUUUCGUUCUGUGCAGGAAGGCGUCGGGACAACGUAUCCAAAAUUAUUUGUAUUAAGGUAGAAUUUUCUUGGAUAUGGCACCCGCUGGUUUCGAACGCAGCUUAAAGACCACAAUCUUGAUCUCUCCUCCACCUGGUCUGUCGCAAUUUCUCCUUGUCAAUUUGGUAUCUGUAUUUUAUUUAGGACAAUUGUCCAUUUAUUUAGGACAAUGCUUGGCUCCUGAUGUAUCAGGAGCCAUUCCUCCUCAACCAUGACUUGGGCUUCUUAAAAAACCAACACUUUUUUUUUUUUUUUUCCCUUCCUCUCUCCUCUUCCCCCAACCUUUUGGCUGGUUUUAACUGCUGACUCCCCAAAGGCACCGCCACCCCUGUUCCAAAUCCACCCUCAUCACCAACCUCGCCAUGUAAACCUCCGGUCAAUUUUGGAGCCCAAGACCCUGGAUUGAAAUCAUUAUGUGCUUUCAAUUGUUUUUGAAUUUGCAGCCAGAGCAGAAGUGAUGGAGAAAUGAGAGAGAGAGAGAGAGAGAGAGAAGAAAAAAGAAAUUCGGUGGGCUGCCUUAUCAGUUCAGUGGCCUGCCUUAUCGGUUCAUUGGUUUUUGAAUUUUCUUGAUGGGUUAGAUCUUAGAAUAUUGCUCAUGAUAGAUGAAUAUCAGAUUCAACAACCCACAUAUAUAAGAUGAUGAACAAUGAAAAAAGAUAAAGUGAGAGGUUUUUGGAGAGGGCGAGGUUGGUGAUGAGGGUGGAUUCGGAACAAGGGUGGCGGUGCCUUUGGGGAGCUGCGGUUAAAACCAGCCAAAAGGUUGGGGGAAGAGGAAAGAGGAUUAAAAAAAAAAAACACACGUGUUGGUUUUUUAAGAAGCCCACGUCAUGGUUGAGGAGGAAUGGGUCGUCAUACAUCAGGAGCCAAGCGUUGUCUUUUUAUUUAUAUGGUAUGUUGAUUUAACGAGAAGGUUCAGUUUGGGGUUACGGUGCUUUAAAAAGAAGCAGCUUAUUUUAAAAUUUUUGAACCCAAAGCUGUUUGGUAAAACAAGACAAAGCUGCGUUUUUUCAAAAUUGGGGGUCAUUGGCAGCAGAUUUCGGAAGCAGCUGGAGGGGUACUUUUAAAAGCUGCUGUGGAUGGAAGGAAGCAUGCGGAGGUUUUAAUGAAUAUUUCGAUAUACCUGUAUUGUCCUCAUUUGUUUUCGAAAAUGACGCGAUUUACCCUUAUCAUUUUUCACACACAGAAUUGAAACUCCCUCACCCGUUCAGAAUCACACACCCACCCAGCCCCUCCAACACCACAAACUCACCCACCUCGCCAUAACCUCC